UGCGGAAUUUUAGAUAAUGGAGGGAACUCUGAUCUAGCGACGCCGCGUGCAGGAAGAAGGUCUUCGGAUUGUAAACUGCUGUGGUAAGGGAAAAAUGCUAUGUAGAGUGGAAAGCUACAUAGAGGGAUGGUACCUUACCAGAAAGCCCCGGCUAACUACGUGCCAGCAGCCGCGGUAAUACGUAGGGGGCGAGCGUUACCCGGAAUCAUUGGGCGUAAAGGGAGCGUAGGUGGCCUAACAUGUCAACCGUGAAAACCCGGAGCUCAACUCCGGACUUGCAGUUGAAACUGGUAGGCUUGAGGACGGUAGAGGAAGACGGAACUGCCAGUGUAGGGGUAAAAUCCUUAGAUAUUGGCAGGAACGCCGGUGACGAAGGUGGUUUUCUGGGCCGGUUCUGACACUGAUGCUCGAAAGCCAGGGGAGCGAACG
rnacentral:rRNA from 1 species